GCCGGGAUAGCUCAGUGGUAGAGCACUUCUCUGAAAAAGAAGGGGUCGAGAGUCCGAUUCUCUCUCCCGGCA
rfam:Candidatus Staskawiczbacteria bacterium RIFCSPLOWO2_01_FTLL_37_25b rifcsplowo2_01_scaffold_6890, whole genome shotgun sequence.